rnacentral:rRNA from 1 species
UACGUAGGGUGCGAGCGUUAAUCGGAAUUACUGGGCGUAAAGCGUGCGCAGGCGGUUUUGUAAGCCAGGUGUGAAAUCCCCGGGCUCAACCUGGGAAUCGGCAUUUGGGACUGCAAGGCUUGAGUGCGGCAGAGGAGACGUGGAAUUCCUGGUGUAGCAGUGAAAUGCGUAGAUAUCAGGAGGAACACCAGUGGCGAAGGCGGCUCACUGGACC